ACCCUCAAACUCUCAAUACCAUCCUACCCACACUCUUGGUCAAAGAGUGUAGAUAAGCAUCCCACAAAAUACUAUAAUUCAUACAUGGUAAUAAGGAAACAAGAUGCACACAAUAUAACAUGAUUUUAAGUGUACCCAUAAAACUUUUUCAUACACAUACAAUCUUCUUGUCACCAACUCUAAGGAUCCUCAAUCUCAAGAGCUCGCUUGCUUUAAUAGUCUUGACAACCCAUAACCUAAUUUUGAAUUUCAUUGAUGUGCCAGGUUAGGGUUUGUCACUUUUCACAUCAGGGUGUUGGUGAACCAAUUCUCCUUCCUUAUCUGCCU
rnacentral:lncRNA from 1 species